AGAACGAACGCUGGCGGCAGGCUUAACACAUGCAAGUCGAACGCGUGUAGCAAUACACGAGUGGCGCACGGGUGAGUAACGCGUGGAUAUCUGCCUUUUGGUUCGGAAUAACUCAGGGAAACUUGAGCUAAUACCGGAUACGUCCGUAAGGAGAAAGAUUUAUUGCCGAAGGAUCGGCCCGCGUCGGAUUAGCUAGUUGGUGGGGUAAUGGCCCACCAAGGCGACGAUCCGUAGCUGGUCUGAGAGGAUGAUCAGCCACACUGGGACUGAGACACGGCCCAGACUCCUACGGGAGGCAGCAGUGGGGAAUAUUGGACAAUGGGCGCAAGCCUGAUCCAGCCAUGCCGCGUGGAUGAUGAAGGCCUUAGGGUUGUAAAGUCCUUUUAACGGGGAGAUAAUGACGGUACCCGUAGAAUAAGCCCGGCUAACUUCGUGCCAGCAGCCGC
rnacentral:rRNA from 1 species